UACGGGGGGGGCAAGCGUUGUUCGGAAUUACUGGGCGUAAAGGGCUCGUAGGUGGCCAACUAAGUCAGACGUGAAAUCCCUCAGCUUAACUGGGGAACUGCGUCUGAUACUGGAUGGCUUGAGUUUGGGAGAGGGACGCGGAAUUCCAGGUGUAGCGGUGAAAUGCGUAGAUAUCUGGAGGAACACCGGUGGCGAAGGCGGCGUCCUGGAAAAUACCUGACACUGAGGCACGAAAGCUAGGGGAGCAAACAGG
rnacentral:rRNA from 1 species